rnacentral:rRNA from 1 species
GACGAACGCUGGCGGCGUGCUUAACACAUGCAAGUCGAACGGUGAAGCGCCUUCCUUUUUGGUGGGUGUGGAUGAGUGGCGAACGGGUGAGUAACACGUGAGUAACCUGCCCCCUUCUUCUGGAUAACCGCAUGAAAGUGUGGCUAAUACGGGAUAUUCUGGGUCUGUCGCAUGAUGGGUCUGGGAAAGAUAUUGUUUCGGUGGGGGAUGGGCUCGCGGCCUAUCAGCUUGUUGGGGGGGUGAUGGCCUACCAAGGCGGUGACGGGUAGCCGGCCUGAGAGGGUGGACGGUCACACUGGGACUGAGACACGGCCCAGACUCCUACGGGAGGCAGCAGUGGGGAAUAUUGCACAAUGGGCGCAAGCCUGAUGCAGCGACGCCGCGUGAGGGAUGGAGGCCUUCGGGUUGUGAACCUCUUUCGCCAGUGAAGCAGGCCUGCCUCGUUUGUGGGUGGGUUGACGGCAGCUGGAUAAGAAGCGCCGGCUAACUACGUG